rnacentral:rRNA from 1 species
ACUCAAAUGAAUUGACGGGGACCCGCACAAGCGGUGGAGCAUGUGGUUUAAUUCGAGGCUACGCGAAGAACCUUACCUAGGCUUGACAUGUUUGCAGUAGUCCUGGUGAAAGCCGGGGCGACCGUAUCCAAUCGGAGGCAUACACAGGUGCUGCAUGGUUGUCGUCAGCUCGUGCUGUGAAGUGUUGGGUUAAGUCCCGCAACGAGCGCAACCAUUGCUCUUAGUUGCCAUCAGGUUAAGCUGGGCACUCUAAGAGGACCGCCAGUGAUAAACUGGAGGAAGGUGGAGAUGAUGUCAAAUCAGCAUGGCCCUUACGCCUAGGGCUACACACGUGCUACAAUGGCCGGUACAAAGGGCAGCGAAUCCGCGAGGAGGAGCAAAUCCCAAAAAGCCGGCCCCAGUUCGGAUAAUAGGCUGCAAUUCGCCUGUUUGAAGCCGGAAUCGCUAGUAAUGGCGCAUCAGAACGGCGCCGUGAAUACGUUCCCGGGUCUUGUACACACCGCCCGU